CAUGGCUGUCGUCAGCUCGUGUUGUGAAAUGUUGGGUUAAGUCCCGCAACGAGCGCAACCCUUAUCCUUUGUUGCCAGCGAUUAGGUCGGGAACUCAAAGGAGACUGCCAGUGAUAAACUGGAGGAAGGUGGGGAUGACGUCAAGUCAUCAUGGCCCUUACGACCAGGGCUACACACGUGCUACAAUGGCGCAUACAAAGAGAAGCGACCUCGCGAGAGCAAGCGGACCUCAUAAAGUGCGUCGUAGUCCGGAUUGGAGUCUGCAACUCGACUCCAUGAAGUCGGAAUCGCUAGUAAUCGUGGAUCAGAAUGCCACGGUGAAUACGUUCCCGGGCCUUGUACACACCGCCCGUCACACCAUGGGAGUGGGUUGCAAAAGAAGUAGGUAGCUUAACCUUCGGGAGGGCGCUUACCACUUUGUGAUUCAUGACUGGGGUGAAGUCGUAACAAGGUAACCGUAGGGGAACCUGCGGUUGGA
rnacentral:rRNA from 2 species